rnacentral:rRNA from 1 species
GUGAGGGACCUGCCUCAAAGAGGGGGACAACAGUUGGAAACGACUGCUAAUACCGCAUAAGCCCACAGGUCGGCAUCGACCAGAGGGAAAAGGAGCAAUCCGCUUUGAGAUGGCCUCGCGUCCGAUUAGCUAGUUGGUGAGGUAACGGCCCACUAAGGCAACGAUCGGUAGCCGGACUGAGAGGUUGAACGGCCACAUUGGGACUGAGACACGGCCCAGACUCCUACGGGAGGCAGCAGUGGGGAAUAUUGCACAAUGGGGGAAACCCUGAUGCAGCGACGCCGCGUGGAGGAAGAAGGUCUUCGGAUUGUAAACUCCUGUUGUUGAGGAAGACAAUGACGGUACUCAACAAGGAAGUGACGGCUAACUACGUGCCAGCAGCCGCGGUAAAACGUAGGUCACAAGCGUUGUCCGGAAUUACUGGGUGUAAAGGGAGCGCAGGCGGGAAGACAAGUUGGAAGUGAAAUCUAUGGGCUCAACCCAUAAACUGCUUUCAAAACUGUUUUUCUUGAGUAGUGCAGAGGUAGGCGGAGUUCCCGGUGUAGCGGUGGAAUGCGUAGAUAUCGGGAGGAACACCAGUGGCGAAGGCGGCCUACUGGGCACCAACUGACGCUGAGGCUCGAAAGUGUGGGUAGCAAACAGGAUUAGAUACCCUGGUAGUCCACACCGUAAACGAUGAUUACUAGGUGUUGGAGGAUUGACCCCUUCAGUGCCGCAGUUAACACAAUAAGUAAUCCACCUGGGGAGUACGACCGCAAGGUUGAAACUCAAAGGAAUUGACGGGGGCCCGCACAAGCAGUGGAGUAUGUGGUUUAAUUCGACGCAACGCGAAGAACCUUACCAAGUCUUGACAUCCUGCGACGCACAUAGAAAUAUGUGUUUCCUUCGGGACGCAGAGACAGGUGUGCAUGGUUGUCGUCAGCUCGUGUCGUGAGAUGUUGGGUUAAGUCCCGCAACGAGCGCAACCCUUACUGUCAGUUACUACGCAAGAGGACUCUGGCAGGACUGCCGUUGACAAAACGGAGGAAGGUGGGGAUGACGUCAAAUCAUCAUGCCCUUUACGACUUGGGCUACACACGUACUACAAUGGCGUUAAACAAAGAGAAGCAAGACCGCGGGGUGGAGCAAAACUCAGAAACAACGUCCCAGUUCGGACUGCAGGCUGCAACUCGCCUGCACGAAGUCGGAAUUGCUAGUAAUCGUGGAUCAGCAUGCCACGGUGAAUACGUUCCCGGGCCUUGUACACACCGCCCGUCACACCAUGAGAGCCGGGGGGACCCGAAGUCGGUAGUCUAACCGCAAGGAGGACGCCGCCG